CCUACGGGGGGCUGCAGUGGGGAAUCUUGGACAAUGGGCGAAAGCCUGAUCCAGCCAUGCCGCGUGAAUGAUGAAGGCCCUAGGGUUGUAAAAUUCUUUCGACGGGGAAGAUAAUGACGGUACCCGUAGAAGAAGCUCCGGCUAACUUCGUGCCAGCAGCCGCGGUAAUACGAAGGGGGCUAGCGUUGUUCGGAAUUACUGGGCGUAAAGCGCACGUAGGCGGAUCGAUAAGUAAGGGGUGAAAUCCCAGAGCUCAACUCUGGAACUGCCUUUUA
rnacentral:rRNA from 1 species